GGAGUCUGCAAGCCUGUGCUGACUGCAGACAUCUGAAGGGGAUCAGUUUGAAAAUCUAGCAUGUACCUGCCAGGCUUUCUGAGUUGGUGACAGACAGCACAUGUUUGAAAGAGGAUUAUGGCAAGAUAAAUGGAGACAAGUGAGGAGGGAGAGCAAUGUGAGACAUCACCUCUGUAGCAAACUGCUAAUGCUGACGCAGGGUGACUACGAGUGACCAAGCAGAGUGUGCCUGCCCACUCUUUGUAAGGAAAAAUGAAUUGAAAGGGGCAGAGAUAUGGAGAUGACCAUGACUUCUGUGCUAAGACAAGGUCAGUAUUCGUACACCGAUUGUUAAAUUAAAUUGUUA